rnacentral:lncRNA from 1 species
UCCCCUAAGCAUAGGUAAUAAGUACAUAUAUUAGUGGUUACAUUAAUGACCAAAUACAUGCAUCUAAUCUUAUAUACAUGCAUAAUCACAAAGUGUAUGUUUGUGUUAUGGGGCGAGAACUCUCGAAAAAUGAAAAAUUCUCGUAAAAAUUCUCUAAGGCACUGAAACCAAAGCAAAAGCAAACUCAAAAAAAAAAAAAGAAGCCACAAACGAAUAGAAAAGCCACAAAAAAAAGGGC